rnacentral:rRNA from 1 species
UGGGGAAUCUUGGACAAUGGGCGCAAGCCUGAUCCAGCCAUGCCGCGUGAGUGAAGAAGGCCUUCGGGUUGUAAAGCUCUUUUACCAGGGACGAUAAUGACGGUACCUGGAGAAUAAGCCCCGGCAAACUUCGUGCCAGCAGCCGCGGUAAUACGAAGGGGGCUAGCGUUGUUCGGAAUUACUGGGCGUAAAGCGCACGUAGGCGGAUUGUUAAGUCAGAGGUGAAAUCCCGGAGCUCAACUUCGGAACUGCCUUUGAUACUGGCAAUCUCGAGUCCGGAAGAGGUUAGUGGAAUUCCCAGUGUAGAGGUGAAAUUCGUAGAUAUUGGGAAGAACACCAGUGGCGAAGGCGGCUAACUGGUCCGGUACUGACGCUGAGGUGCGAAAGCGUGGGGAGCAAACCGGAUUAGAUACCCUUGUAGUCCCUGAGCGGGCUGGCAAGGCGCAU